GUUUGAAAAGUUGAAUUCUUAAUUGAUGAGACUAUCCUUCGUGAGCAAAGAAAUUGCUGAUUUGGUUCUCCUACAAGUAUUGAUCAUAAUUUCCUAAAAGAAGGGGGAAAAAUUGAAAUUUGUUGUCACAUCACCAAUACUUUUAUUGUUGCUUCCCGCUACUGUUAUGGCAAUUACCCCAUGCUGCAACUCUCAUCUUCACCUUCUCAAACUCCGAAUACCCACACGGAAUUUUUAUUCCACCCGGAUGAUUAUAUCCGUACACCCGCUCUGCAUCCUUCAACAGCUCCCCAAACAGCGGAUGAUUGAAGUAUAUCACAGGCACCACCUCCCUCCUCGUGUCACCAUUUGAUUCUCCCACGUAGACCGCCA
rnacentral:misc_RNA from 1 species